rnacentral:rRNA from 1 species
GACGAACGCUGGCGGCGUGCUUAACACAUGCAAGUCGAACGGAAAGGCCCUGCUUUUGUGGGGUGCUCGAGUGGCGAACGGGUGAGUAACACGUGAGUAACCUGCCCUUGACUUUGGGAUAACUUCAGGAAACUGGGGCUCAUACCGGAUAGGAGCUCCUGAUGCAUGGUGGGGGUUGGAAAGUUUCGGCGGUUGGGGAUGGACUCGCGGCUUAUCAGCUUGUUGGUGAGGUAGUGGCUUACCAAGGCUUUGACGGGUAGCCGGCCUGGGAGGGUGACCGGCCACAUUGGUACUAAGGUACGGCCCAGACUCGUACGGGAGGCAGCAGUGGGGAGUAUUGCACAGUGGGCGGAAGUCUGAGGCAGCGACGCCGCGUGCGGGAUGACGGCCUUCGGGUUGUAAACCGCUUUCGCCUGUGACGAAGCGUGAGUGACGGUAAUUGGUAAAGAAGCACCGGCUAACUACGUG